GACGAACGCUGGCGGCGUGCCUAAUACAUGCAAGUCGAGCGAGUCUGCCUUGCUGAUCGGGGUGCUUGCACUCUGUGAAACGAGAUACAGGCUAGAGUAGGACGGGUGAGUAACACGUGGGUCACCUGCACAAGAGAUCGGGUUCACACCUGGAACCAGAGGCUAAUACCGGAUAACAACAGAUGAUGCCUGUCAACUGUUUAAAAGAUGGUUCUGCUAUCACUCUUGGAUGGACCUGCGGUGAAUUCGAUAGUUGGUAGGGUAACGGGCUACCAGGGCGAGGAUGCAUAGCCGAAGUGAUAGACGGAUCGGCCACAUUGGGACGGAGACACGGCCCUAACUCCUACGGGAGGCAGCAGUAGGGUAUCUGCCACAAUGGACGCAAGUCUGAUGGAGCAACGCCGCGUGAGUGAAGAAGGGGUUCGGCUCGGAAAGCUCUGUUGUUGGUGAAGAAGGACAGGGGUAGUAGCUGACCUGUGUUUGACGGUAAUCAAUUAGAAAGUCACGGCUAACUAAGUG
rnacentral:rRNA from 1 species